GGAGGGAAGCGGAGAGCGGGAAGCGUGAGUCCUGGGGAACGGCGCAUGCGCGAAACUGGGGCACAAACAAGAUGGCGGGCACGCCGUUUGCACCGUCUCCAGUUUUCCUCUCCCUUUCCCAUGGUGCCCCGACUCCUAUAAUUAAUUUCAUAUAAGAGGAUGUUUCAUGGCCCUUAAGGAAGCCUCUGUUCGCCCACAUGAUGAAAGGGUGAGAGAUGAGCAAGGAGAAGCCGAGGUUCGCCUGCCUCGCCCUGCCUGGGCAGAGGACUGUGGCGCCUGGCAACUACAGUUCUCCCUCUGCUUCUGUGGGUUUGACUCUUAAGAUUCAUCAUUUGAACCAACCCAGUGACCAAGAAAAAUAUUCAUGUCAGAAAACAUUGUGAAAGAUUUUGAAGUUGGCAUAAAGGUAACUGGGUGUUUUGCCCAGAGAGUAUGCUUAUGGGAUAUCUAUGUCUUUUACUUUGAACUAUUUUACAACUUUGUAACCUGUAGAUAAUUGAUGGCAAUGCAAAUUAGUCAUGUCCAAAGACAAACACAGCCUCGUUAUUCAUAGUAGCCUAGUUCUACGAAGUUGCCAUGAACACUGAAUUAAAGAAUGCUGACUUUAGUAAAGCUCUAAAAUACUUU